GACGAACGCUGGCGGCGUGCUUAACACAUGCAAGUCGAACGGUGAACCAGAGCUUGCUCUGGGGAUCAGUGGCGAACGGGUGAGUAACACGUGGGCAACCUGCCCCAGACUCUGGGAUAACCUCGGGAAACCGAUGCUAAUACCGGAUACGACCACUUCGGACAUCCGACGGUGGUGGAAAGUUUUUCGGUCUGGGAUGGGCCCGCGGCCUAUCAGCUAGUUGGUGGGGUAAUGGCCUACCAAGGCGACGACGGGUAGUCGGCCUGAGAGGGCGACCGGCCACACUGGAACUGAGACACGGUCCAGACUCCUACGGGAGGCAGCAGUGGGGAAUAUUGCACAAUGGGCGAAAGCCUGAUGCAGCGACGCCGCGUGAGGGACGACGGGCCUUCGGGUUGUAACCGUACUUCUAGCAGGGACGAAGCGAAAGUGACUGUACCUGCAGAAGAAGCACCGGCUAACUACGUGCCAGCAGCCGCGGUAAU
rnacentral:rRNA from 1 species